CCUACGGGAGGCAGCAGUGAGGAAUAUUGGUCAAUGGACGAGAGUCUGAACCAGCCAAGUAGCGUGAAGGAUGACUGCCCUAUGGGUUGUAAACUUCUUUUAUAUGGGAAUAAAAUGUUCCACGUGUGGGAUUUUGUAUGUACCAUAUGAAUAAGGAUCGGCUAACUCCGUGCCAGCAGCCGCGGUAAUACGGAGGAUCCGAGCGUUAUCCGGAUUUAUUGGGUUUAAAGGGAGCGUAGGUGGAUUGUUAAGUCAGUUGUGAAAGUUUGCGGCUCAACCGUAAAAUUGCAGUUGAAACUGGCAGUCUUGAGUACAGUAGAGGUGGGCGGAAUUCGUGGUGUAGCGGUGAAAUGCUUAGAUAUCACGAAGAACUCCGAUUGCGAAAGCAGUUCACUGGACUGCAACUGACACUGAGGCUCGAAAGUGUGGGUAUCAAACAGGAUUAGAUACCCCUGUAGUC
rnacentral:rRNA from 1 species